GGGGUGCUCGAGUGGCGAACGGGUGAGUAACACGUGAGUAACCUGCCCUUGACUUUGGGAUAACUUCAGGAAACUGGGGCUAGUACCGGAUAGGAGCUCCUGCUGCAUGGUGGGGGUUGGAAAGUUUCGGCGGUUGGGGAUGGACUCGCGGCUUAUCAGCUUGUUGGUGGGGUAGUGGCUUACCAAGGCUUUGACGGGUAGCCGGCCUGAGAGGGUGACCGGCCACAUUGGGACUGAGAUACGGCCCAG
rnacentral:rRNA from 1 species